GCUUUAAAAUAAACUUGAAGUGAUACCUGCCCAGUGGUAUUUAAUUAACAAUAAUAAAUUUGUUUUUGAAUAAUACUAAACGGACGCGGUAACCUGACCGUGGUAAUGUAGCAUAAUCAAUCGCCAUUUAAUUGAUGGAUAGUAUGAAUGGUUUAACGAGUACUUCACUGUCUUAGAAAAAAAUCUUGUGAAAUUGAAAUGGUAGUUAAGAUGCUACUUAGAAUUGUAAGACGAAAAGACCCUAUAGAGCUUAACUAAAUUCUUUCAUAGAAUACUCAAAAAUAAUUUUGCUUAUAAGAAAGAAAGUUAGUUUGGUUGGGGCGACCGCCUUUUAUAUAAAACAAAGGUAAACAAAGUUAAUAAAGUAAACUUAUUGUAUAAUCAAUUAAUUUAACAAUUACAAAAGUAGGUUAUAGUGACCCGUUAUGAAUUAUAAAAGAUUAUAACGAUUAAUAAAUAAAAGCUACCUUAGGGAUAACAGGAUAAUUUAAGCUUAGAGAUCUUAUCGAAGCUAAAGUUUGUCACCUCUAUGUUGAAUUGAGAUAUCCUAAUAAUGCAGAAGUUAUUAAAGGUGGGUCUGUUCGACCUUUAAAAUCUU
rnacentral:rRNA from 1 species